rnacentral:rRNA from 1 species
CCUACGGGUGGCAGCAGUGAGGAAUAUUGGUCAAUGGGCGAGAGCCUGAACCAGCCAAGUCGCGUGAAGGAUGACGGCCCUACGGGUUGUAAACUUCUUUUGUCAGGGAGCAAUUGAGUCCACGUGUGGUCUUAGCGAGAGUACCUGAAGAAAAAGCAUCGGCUAACUCCGUGCCAGCAGCCGCGGUAAUACGGAGGAUGCGAGCGUUAUCCGGAUUUAUUGGGUUUAAAGGGAGCGUAGACGGUGCAGCAAGUCUGAUGUGAAAGGUCGGGGCCCAACCCCGGGACUGCAUUGGAAACUGUUGAACUGGAGUACAGGAGAGGUAAGCGGAAUUCCUAGUGUAGCGGUGAAAUGCGUAGAUAUUAGGAGGAACACCAGUGGCGAAGGCGGCUUACUGGACUGUAACUGACGUUGAGGCUCGAAAGCGUGGGGAGCAAACAGGAUUAGAUACCCGAGUAGUC